rnacentral:rRNA from 1 species
CCCUUAGAUGUUCUGGGCCGCACGCGCGCUACACUGAUGAAUGCAACGAGCUCUACCCUUGACCGAAAGGCCCGGGUAAACUUGUGAAACUUCAUCGUGAUGGGGAUAGAUUAUUGCAAUUAUUAAUCUUCAACGAGGAAUUCCUAGUAAGCGCAAGUCAUCAGCUCGCGUUGAUUACGUCCCUGCCCUUUGUACACACCGCCCGUCGCUCCUACCGAUUGAAUGGUCCGGUGAAAUCUUCGGAUUGCUGACCAAGAUCCAGCAAUGGAGCUUGGUUGCGAGAAGUUGAUUAAACCUUAUUAUUUAGAGGAAGGAGAAGUCGUAACA